rnacentral:rRNA from 1 species
AUUGAACGCUGGCGGCAGGCUUAACACAUGCAAGUCGAACGAGUGGCGGACGGGUGAGUAAUGCUUGGGAAUCUGGCUUAUGGAGGGGGAUAACGACGGGAAACUGUCGCUAAUACCGCGUACCAUAGGAUGAGCCCAAGUGGGAUUUGGUAGUUGGUGGGGUGAUGGCCUUCCAAGCUGCCGAUGUCUAGCUGGUCUGAGCGGAUGACCAGCCACACCGGGACUGAGGGACGGACCGGACUCCUACGGGAGGCAGCAGUGGAGAAGAUUGCGCAAUGGGGGCAACCCUGACGCAGCCAUGCCGCGUGAAUGAAUAAGGCCUGCGGGUUGUAAAGUUCUUUCGUUAUUGCGGCGUUAGAUACAGAAGAAGCACCGGCUAACUCCGUGCCAGCAGCCGCGGUAAUAC